CCCUUAGAUGUUCUGGGCAGCACGCGCGCUACAAUGGUCUUCGCAAACGGAUGCAUUCUCGAAGGAGAAUGCCAAUCUUGGAAUCUAUGCCUUGGUCGGGACAGUUACUUGCAAUUUUUCGACUCGAACCAGGAAUUCCUUGUAAUCGUGAUUCAUCACAUCACGAUGAAUACGUCCCUGCCCUUUAUACACACCGCCCGUCGCUCCUACCGAUCGAAGAGUUAGGUGAAUUGUUUUGAUCGAUAAGAUUUGACUAUGGUCAACUCUCGUUGUGAAAUUCUGUGAAUCUGACUGUUUAGAGGAAGGAAAAGUCGUAACA
rnacentral:rRNA from 1 species